rnacentral:lncRNA from 1 species
GAAACACUCUGUAUGGAAUCGGUGUGACAAGGAGUUACCCACUCUGACCGUGCUGCUUUGGAGUCUGGACAUGGGGCCUUCAAACGUUCCUCCAGGAUCCUCCAUAUGCAUUGAGGCAUCAUGAGGAUGCUGACCAACUCUGACGGUGCCGUAGAGUCCUACUAGAGUCACUGGUAGCAUCAUGGUGAGUUUUAUGCAAAGGAUCCUGUGGGGCUUUAUGGAUUCAGAAUCCUGUCUCCAAUGCUCUGACAGUGCAUACGCGUGCUUGAGAAAGCACACACACACACACACACACACACACACACACACACACACACACACACUCCAGUUUGUGUUUUGUUUUAAAUGUCAGAAGAAUCCUUUUGGGGGACUAAAUAUUUCUGUAUGCUGGAUAGAAAAUUUUCAAAAUCUUGGUGCCAUUCUGAACUAGGGGGUGUUUUUGUAAACUUUCAAACACAGAUGUUGCUGAUUCCUGCUGUCUCUAAUGCUGGAGUCGUUCCUACAAAUCAGAAACUGCUUCCAUAGCCCAGCAGUUUGGAACAGAAAUACUCCAAGUUCAUCUUGAAGGAAAGGGUGAAUUGUUUUUAAAAGUGCCUUAGCUAGGGCUCCUUGAUAAGAUCAAAUGUCAAAUGCAUUACAUUAUUUCUUUAAUAUGUAGAUAAGAAAUACAUGUACUAACGUUUCAUUUAUUGCUUAUUCAAAAUUCAGUUUUUUAAAUGGACAUCCUAGGCUGGGUAUGAUGGUUCACACCUAUAAUGCCAAAACUUGAGGGUUAGUAAUGACAGGAAAAUUGGGACUCCAAGGUUGUCUUCUGUGACAUAAGAGGUUGAGGGAAAACUGGGCCUACAUAAGACCCACCCCCCCCCAAAACAGCCAGAAUAAAAUAAGAAAAUAAAUAAAUAGACAUCUUGAUUUUAUUAAGCAAUUCAUUCCUAACUCGUGGAAUAUGACAAAGUGUAUGUCCUUGUUUUAUGUGAAAAGAACAUUCCUGGAAGUCUCCUGAAGUUUUACAUCUCUCAACUCGCUGUCCUUCAGAGAGUAGUGAUCUUAGCAACUUAAGAUUUCCCUCAUGAACGGUGUAUUGUGAGAAGAAUCAAGCACACAUCUUUAAUGAGGAAAAACACCUUUAUACUAACCUCCAAGAAUUUCUUCACAAACCACCCCAGAAACAUGAAUACACUUAUUUUAAAUAAUUAAUCAUUUAGGGGAAAAAAAACCCACAAAGUAACACAACCAUAGAAUCAGACUAUUAUGCCUAUAGAUUUUUUAAAUUCUUAUGUGUGACAUUUUAAGAUUUGUAAAUAAUUAUCAAGUUUUAUGGAACCAAUAGAAAAGAAGAAAAGUUGGAGGAGUGGUUGUACCUGACUUCAACAAUUAAUAUAAAUUGUAGAAAUCAUGACACUGUGUCAUGUUGCAAAUGGAAGAGCUGAACAGACCCUGGAAGUGACCUGGGUAAACACGGUCUAUUGAUCAUUGACAAAGAAGCAGAAACUGCCGAGUGUGGCAAACGUCAUCUUUUUCACAUGUUGGGGUUCAACAUCAUAUGAUAAAAUGCAGAUCUGAUUCACAAGAAUCAGGCCUAAGGGUGUAUGUGUGUGUGUUUUUGUGUGUGUAUGUGUGUGUGUGUGUGUGUGUGUGUGUGUGUGUGUGUGAUGAACUGUUGGGAUGUUGAAUCUAACUACAAAAUUCAAAAACACCAACCCAGGCACUAGGUAAAAGACUAGAUAGCCUUAGGUUUGUAAUACAAAGAGAGCCUGGUCCAUGAGUAAGAAUACAUAUAGGCUGAGUUCAUCAACAUGAUUGUGGAUCUUCACUGAGAAGAAAAAUAUAAACCACAUCCUACGGGAUCCUUACAAAACACACCACGAAAGAGGAAUAGAAUUCACGACUUAUAAAGGACACGUAAAACUCGCGCUUCACAAAACAAACAACUCAAUUACAGAUCAUCAAUAGACCUGAGUAGUUUGCCUCACCAAGAGGAACUACAGGAGAGAUAUGAGUUCCCAUAAUUGAUAAGCACAAAUUAGACACCACAGUGCACCCAUGGAAAUGGCUAACAUCUUACCACCAAUAACAAGGGUUGAUAAAGUUGUGGAUCAACAGAAACUCAUUGUUUGCAAGUGUGUACAGCCAAAAUAAAAGAGAGUUUUGCAGGAUCUCACAAAACCAAAGCCAUCCUUUUCAUAUGGUCCAAUAGCUGCUCUUCUUGUCAUUUUCCCUCCAACUUAAAAAGUUGGCUCUAAACCACACCUGCCUGGAUGACAGCAUUGUUCACAAUGCCUGAAACUUGUGAGCAAGAAACUCAUGCUCUGUCAGUGGCUGGGGAGGUACACUAUGGUUCAUUCAGACCACAGAGGUCUUUAUUAUAUGCGAGGAUAAGAGUGAGCCACUGAGCCUCAAACACACAUGGAAGAUGGAAAUGCAUGCUUUAUGAAAGAAAAGCCACUCUUCAUUCUGAAAUGGAGAAGCCAAUCAGAUUAAAGGUUGUGUUGUUCUGACUCUGUGAGAUUAUGGGAAACAGUAACUCUGAAGACAGUGAGAAGAUUAAAGAUUGCCAAGGGAGGGGGAGAUGGAGUGACAGAGAGAAUUUCUGGAAGGGUAGAGCCACUUUGUCUGCUAUUGUGGUGCUGGAGAGAUGUCAUUAACCAUCUAGCAAAGCCCAAAGACUGCACACCACAAAUAUGGAACCUUAAUGGAACCUUUGGAUGCCGUGGUCAACACUGGCUCAUCGACUGCACAGACAUCUCGUGCUAUCAGGAGGUGCUGAUGCUAGGGCUACAAGUAGGGGAGGAGAGCAUAGGGGGCCUGUGGAUUUCCUGGUUAGUGUCUCUGUGGGCUUCAAACUGCUCUUACACAAGUCUCUUGAAUGAAAGUGAUGGAGGUAUUGUCAAAGCAUAUGUUGGGAAAAUCAACAUGCUAAAAUAAUACACUUGACAAAAGAGCAAAAUAAUCCACAUAUAAUACUUGAGACUACAAACUUUGUUAUGGCUUACAUGGGACAUUAGACUCAACUGGAAAGAGAAUUAUAAGGCAGUGUUGGAGAAAUCACUCUGUCUGUGGCAAAACCACAAAAGGGUGAAAUGUGGUACAUAGGACAAAGUCAGUCAUGUCCAAUCAGUGUUCUUAUGAGGGCUAAAGCACUCUGUGGAGUAAUCAUAUCUAGGAGUUAUUUGGAACUGACACAUAUUCAAAAUCUUCAGUUAUGGCAGGCUUAAUAUAACUCUGGAAGGACAAGAGAGACACCCGCAGCAAACAUGUUGUCAUCGGAGGAACACUAUUUGGAAGGAAGAAAGGAGUUUGUUAUUUUUAAAGCACUAGGGGGGGAAAAAAAAAAGAGCAACCUAGAAUUUUCUAACCAGGAAAAAGGAUAUUUUAUAAGGAGAGUAACACUGAGACAUCCCCAGCCAAAUGCAAACUUAAGAGUUGACUACUGAGCAAAGUUCACAAAGGAAGCUUCUAGAGAUGGUAUUUAUAACAAAAACAUAUUGAAAACAAGAGGCAUAAACAAGAUGUCAUGGGGCUAUACGGUGAACAUACAUUGUUGUUAGGUGCUUAUUCUUGUUGG